CCCAGGUCUCCCUUUACUGAUCUUGAAAAAAUGGGAGUAGUUUUACACAUUCCAAGUUGUAUGGAGAAAUGAAGGAAGAUGCGAAGUGUUUAGAAGUCUGGAAAUGGAUUCACAUCGUUCUUUUCAUUUCAUGUCAAAAGAAGAAUGAAACGAAUCACUUGACCAAUUUUAAAUGAAAGUGUAAAAAGAGGAGUAGAGAGUCAUCAACCACACCAAGUGUUGCAGUGACUCAGCGCUUCAAGCUGACUUCUGAACCACGUGCUACACACAGGAGACUUGUACAUUCUCCAUCACAUCUGUAAGCUGGGACGUGACGAUGACCAGCCGCCACCUCCAAUAUUUCAUAUAUAUGAGAGGCAUUUAGGAGAUGUGAAGACUGGGCUGUUGUGAAACAGUUAUAAAGACACAAGAUGGAAAGUGUCAACAGUGACAUUCAGCUGUGCGGUUAUGCCAGCAAAAUGGUCACAGCCCCAAACGCUAUGUUCUUUGCAGGCCCUGGGCUUUCAAGUUGGAACCAGGAGCAUGGAGUUUCAGAUCCUGGUGCUUCAAGGUCCCGGGGCGACAGCAGUUUCCUCCAACCACUACAGCCACACAAAUCCUACACACCCGGGAAGAGCGGGGAUGGGUCUCGCAGAGAUUUUUAAGGUGAGCCAACAAUCAGGGUCUAAUUCACAGCUUCCUGACAACCAAACCAAGAGGAAAACGUAUUAGGUUCCACAUACUCAUCUGGCUUUGGGCAUUGUAUGUCUCUGUGUGUCGAGACUUGUUUGGCUUUGAACUUCUUUUCAUCUCUGAGUGCCUCCUCUCAC
rnacentral:lncRNA from 1 species